GAUGAACGCUGGCGGCGUGCCUAAUACAUGCAAGUCGAGCGAACAGACGAGGAGCUUGCUCCUCUGACGUUAGCGGCGGACGGGUGAGUAACACGUGGAUAACCUACCUAUAAGACUGGGAUAACUUCAGGAAACCGGAGCUAAUACCGGAUAAUAUAUUGAACCGCAUGGUUCAAUAGUGAAAGACGGUUUUGCUGUCACUUAUAGAUGGAUCCGCGCCGCAUUAGCUAGUUGGUAAGGUAACGGCUUACCAAGGCAACGAUGCGUAGCCGACCUGAGAGGGUGAUCGGCCACACUGGAACUGAGACACGGUCCAGACUCCUACGGGAGGCAGCAGUAGGGAAUCUUCCGCAAUGGGCGAAAGCUUGACGGAGCAACGCCGCGUGAGUGAUGAAGGUCUUCGGAUCGUAAAACUCUGUUAUUAGGGAAGAACAAAUGUGUAAGUAACUAUGCACGUCUUGACAGUACCUAAUCAGAAAGCCACGGCUAACUACGUG
rnacentral:rRNA from 1 species